GCUUGGCGUUGGUUGUCCAAGUUUAAGGUGGUAGGCUGAAAUCUUAGGUAAAUCCGGGGUUUCAAGGCCGAGAGCUGAUGACGAGUCGUCUUUUAGAUGACGAAGUGGUUGAUGCCAUGCUUCCAAGAAAAGCUUCUAAGCUUCAGGUAACCAGGAACCGUACCCCAAACCGACACAGGUGGUCGGGUAGAGAAUACCAAGGCGCUUGAGAGAACUCGGGUGAAGGAACUAGGCAAAAUGGCACCGUAACUUCGGGAGAAGGUGCGCCGGCUAGGGUGAAGGAUUUACUCCGUAAGCUCUG
rnacentral:rRNA from 1 species